CGACGGCCUAGUUCCUACCUCACUUGAUUUUGUGAAACGAUAAUGUUGAUCGGGAGGGACAAGGUACUUAGCUGUCCCCUUCUUAACCGUUACGAUUUAACCACUCUUCUCUCGUUCUCCUUCUACUACUCAACUGUACCUUUUCGCUGAACGCUAUACAAGUCGCCUAGUGGUACAGUUCCUUACUCGUCAAUUUAUUCUCAGAAAAGCUGUUUUCAUUC
rnacentral:rRNA from 1 species